rnacentral:tRNA from 1 species
GCUUGGGUGGCUCGGUCGGUUGAGCAUCCGACUUCGGCUCGGGUCAUGAUCUCGCGGUUUGUGGGUUCAAGCCCCGCGUCGGGCU